GACGAACGCUGGCGGCGUGCUUAACACAUGCAAGUCGAACGGAAAGGCCUCUUUCGGGGGGUACUCGAGUGGCGAACGGGUGAGUAACACGUGAGUAACCUGCCCUUGACUUUGGGAUAACUUCAGGAAACGGGGGCUAAUACCGGAUAGGAGCUCCUGCUGCAUGGUGGGGGUUGGAAAGUUUCGGCGGUUGGGGGUUGAUUCGCGGCGUAUCAGCUUGUUGGUGGGGUAGUGGCUUACCAAGGCUUUGACGGGUAGCCGGCCUGAGAGAGUGAGCGGCGACAUUGGGACUGAGAUACGGCCCAGACUCCUACGGGAGGCAGCAGUGGGGAAUAUUGCACAAUGGGUGGAAGCCUGAUGCAGCAACGCCGUGUGUGGGAUGACGGCCUUCGGGUUGUAAACCGCUUUCGCUCAUGACGAAGCUUUGUGUGACGGUAGUGAGUAAAGAAGCACCGGCUAACUACGUG
rnacentral:rRNA from 1 species